UACGUAGGGGGCGAGCGUUGUCCGGAUUUAUUGGGCGUAAAGAGCUCGUAGGCGGUUCGGUAAGUCGGGUGUGAAACCUCCAGGCUCAACCUGGAGACGCCACCCGAUACUGCUGUGACUAGAGUCCGGUAGGGGAGCGUGGAAUUCCUGGUGUAGCGGUGAAAUGCGCAGAUAUCAGGAGGAACACCAGCGGCGAAGGCGGCGCUCUGGGCCGGAACUGACGCUGAGGAGCGAAAGCGUGGGGAGCAAACAGG
rnacentral:rRNA from 1 species